UGUCAGGCCAAAUUUCUUCCCCUCCCAAAUUUCAGUUUGGCCUGACAAGUCCCCUGCCUGCAGGCAGACUCUUCUCCUGGAAAUACCACGCCUUCAAAUGGCGAAUAGGAAAGCAGUGCAUUUUUGAUGCGCAAUGACAAAACUACCGAAAACUUUGAACGCUAAAAAAAUUAGCUAUAACGGUGAUUUUUUCAGAGUUCUCAUUUGAUGGGCAGAUGAUUCAUUUUAGUUAGAUUGGGCAUGGAUAGGCAUCAGCAGUCUAACAGUAUGAAGAACUGCGUAUCGAAGUUAACUUUAGCCAGACAUGCGAAGCUAGCCAGCGGAGAAAAGACGUCUGAUUUACUGGAGAGAGUUUAAAUUAGGGAAUUUUCACGUAAUACUAUUACUAAUAGUUUUUAAUCAGAUGUCUCAUUUCCAGCCGGAAAUAAGAUGUGCAAGUUUUUGCGUACUGUUGGGCGUGAACACUGACCAAAGCUGAGGCGAGUUCUUUGGAUGUUCUUCUGGGAUCUUUUGUGACUUCCUGGAUGAGUUUUCCUUGGAGAAAUUUUGGCAGACCGGCCACUCAUGGGAAGAUUCACCACUGUUCCAAGUGUUCCCCAUGUGGUGAUAGUGGCUUACCAAACUGAUGUAUUUCAACAACUUUUUUUCUAACCCCUUUUGGAAUUUCUUUUGAUUAUGGCAUAAUGUGCUUGUAGAAACUUUGUGACAACUUCACUCUGAUGGUAAGGUUCUAUAUCAGUGAGGUUUAGAUUCAAAAGGGCUGGGUGCAAUUAAGCCUGGCUGUGUUCAGUCUGCUGAAUCUAAUUAUCCAUUAAAUUUGUUUAAAUUCUUGAUUAAGUAACUUAGGGGGCAAUUACUGUUUCACAUGGGUGAUAUGGGUGUUUGAUAACUUUUUUUAUUAAAUGAAUGAAAUAUA